AAUGAAUGCUGUGACAGGUCUCAAGGGCCAUUCUCAGUGACAAUAAAGCCUGAAGCUACAGAAAAAAGCAGUUUGUUCAAGACAGACCCAGAUCUAACAUUUCUUUUGGAAGGAGCAAGCAGCAAGUUAAGAUCAAAAUGAGUGCUUUGAGAAGAGUGGAUUACUACUAUUACUACACAUUCCCCGCCAUGAUGGACAAUUUCACAAUAGUCCCAAGGAAAGCUGCCAGUCAUCCAUAUACUGAAACUUCCAAAACUGAACCAAAGAAUUAAGUUUGACUAAGAAUGACUGAAGGAUUCUUUGAUAUUGGAAAAUAUCUAAUAAAGCAUCAUACUCUGGUUAUUAACUACUGUAAUCAUGCAUUUGAGAACUGACAAAAUCUUCACCUGUGUAAGAAAAAAUAAAAUGAAACAAUAAAGCA